rnacentral:rRNA from 1 species
UGUUUAUCAAAAACAUGUCUUUUUGAAAAUAAUUUAAAGUCUAACCUGCCCACUGAAAUAAAUUUAAAGGGCCGCGGUAUAUUGACUGUGCAAAGGUAGCAUAAUCAUUUGUCUUUUAAUUGAAGGCUAGAAUGAAUGGUUGAAUGAAGUAUUAACUGUCUCAUUUUAAAAAUUUAAGAAUUUAAUUUUUAAGUUAAAAAGCUUAAAUGUAAUUAGAGGACGAGAAGACCCUAUAGAUCUUUAUAAUUUAAAUUAAAUAAUAUUUAGUUAUUAAUUAAUUAUUUAUUUAAAAAUUAUUUUAUUGGGGUGAUAGGAAAAUUUAUAAAACUUUUUUUAUUUAAUACCAUUGAUUUAUGAAUAGUUGAUCCAUUAUUAUUGAUUAAAAAUUUAAGUUACCUUAGGGAUAACAGCGUAAUUUUUUUAAAGAGUUCAUAUCGAUAAAAAAGAUUGCGACCUCGAUGUUGAAUUAAAGAUUAUUUUUAGGUGUAGAAGUUUAAAGUUUAGGUCUGUUCGACCUUUGAAUCUUUCAUGAUCUGAGUUCAAACCG